rnacentral:rRNA from 1 species
ACCUGACUGCUAUCGGAUUGAUACUAAGCCAUGCGAGUCGUUGUAGCAAUACAAGGCGGACGGCUCAGUAACACGUAGUCAAUCUACCUUAUGGACGGGGAUAACCUCGGGAAACUGAGAAUAAUACCUGAUAGAUCAUAAUUCCUGGAAUGGUUUAUGGUCCAAAUGAUUUAUCGCCAUAGGAUGGGACUGCGGCCUAUCAGCUUGUUGGUGAGGUAAUGGCCCACCAAGGCUAUAACAGGUACGGGCUCUGAGAGGAGAAGCCCGGAGAUGGGUACUGAGACACGGACCCAGGCCCUAUGGGGCGCAGCAGGCGAGAAACCUUAGCAAUGUGCGAAAGCACGACUAGGUUAAUCCGAGUGAUUUCUGCUGAAGAAGUCUUUUGUCAGUUCUAAAUCUACUGGUGAAUAAGGGGUGGGCAAGUCUGGUGUCAGCCGCCGCGGUAAUACCAGCACCUCGAGUGGUUAGGAGGUUUAUUGGGCCUAAAGCAUCCGUAGCCGGCUAUGCAAGUCUCCGGUUAAAUCCAUCUGCUUAACAGAUGGGCUGCCGGAGAUACUACAUAGCUAGGGAGCGGGAGAGGUAGACGGUAUUCGGUGGGUAGGGGUAAAAUCCUCUGAUCCAUUGAGGACCACCAGUGGCGAAGGCGGUCUACCAGAACGCGUUCGACGGUGAGGGAUGAAAGCUGGGGGAGCAAACCGGAUUAGAUACCCGGGUAGUCCCAGCUGUAAACGAUGCAAACUCGGUGAUGCACUGGCUUAUAGCCAGUGCAGUGCCGCAGGGAAGCCGUUAAGUUUGCCGCCUGGGAAGUACGGUCGCAAGACUGAAACUUAAGGAAUUGGCGGGGGAGCACCACAAGGGUGAAGCCUGCGGUUCAAUUGGAGUCAACGCC